rnacentral:rRNA from 1 species
UACGUAGGGGGCUAGCGUUGUCCGUAAUCAUUGGGCGUAAAGCGCGUGUAGGCGGUCCGGUAAGUCCGCUGUGAAAGCCCGGAGCUUAACUCCGGAGGGUCGGUGGAUACUGCCAGUCUUGAAGGUGCUAGGGGGAGAUGGAAUUACCGGUGUAGCGGUGAAAUGCGUAGAUAUCGGUAGGAACACCAGUGGCGAAGGCGGUCUCCUGGGGCAUUCUUGACGCUGAGGCGCGAAAGCUGGGGGAGCAAACGGG